UGCUCCUCGGGUGGUUUCUUUGAUUCUACCUUUACCACGACUGACUGUAUUUAUUCCCAGAUUGAUAUUCUCUCUUUGGGUUUGGCAACUCUUCUCUGGCUUCUGGCUUCUGGCUUCUGGGAUCUGCUCAGCCUUUUUAAAUGCAACUUGUGCAAAGAGGAGAUGGGCAGAUGGAAAAAUAAAAACAAAAGAUGAAGUACAUCAGCAACAGCAACAGCAAAACGUGGACUGUGCUGGAUAAUGGGUGCAAGCUCUGAAGGGGCUGGAUCCUGAGGCCUAUGCUUCCCAAGCAGUCACAGAAACAGUGGGUGGCAGGUGUUUCUGUAAUUGGGCCACACUGGGAAACCGCACUGCAUUGGUCCCAUUCAACCUCAUCUGACAGAGAAGGUUCUACUAGUUAAGGGAGCAAGAAGAAAAUCCUCCCUUGAAUCAUUAAAUAAGUGAGACUGUUGUCCACCAUUUCAUAAUGUGAUCAGAGUUUGGUUGUGUACACUAUGUUUAUCCAGGUGAAGGCUUUCACGGUGUAUGCCUUUCUUACUACUUACAUAUUUAAACAAAGGUUUGCUGCACUUUAGAAAAAGAAAACAAUAGAAAGAAAAGCACAAAACCAAACCAAUUCCCACUGUCUAGGGCCCAUAUUUGUGCCAGCUUAACACUGUCAGUUUGAAAAGACAUGACCCAAAAAGAGGGCAGCCCAGGGAUGGUCAGCAGACUUCAAGAGAUGCUCAGAGUCCAUGGUCUCCAUGGCAACAGAAGGCUUAUUAUUUCCCCCUGUGGUAUUUCACAUCACUUUGGAUUUGUGAGAUUGGACUGCAGAUUAGAUCCUUAAAGAUCCUUGCUUUGUAUCUUGCUUCAGCCCUUUCUGUUUAAGGUAAAACAAAGCAUUAUUCCUCAUUUUA